rnacentral:tRNA from 1 species
AUCGGAGUAGCUCAAUGGUAGAGCGCAGGGCUUACAUCUCUGGCGUUGCGGGUUCGAUUCCUGCCUCCGGUA